CCCGUGGUUCGAUUACCGACGGCAAAAGCGGCCCCGCAACGAGGCGUAAUCAGUGAUAUAAGAACCAUUAAGAGCGAGGAGAUAUUCGUUACUAAAUCCCUCCGCAACGCGGUCGUGAAAACGGGUUUAGCCCGGGACGAGGAGGUUCAACGAACUUUCGAGCGUGCUCGUUUGACUUUCAAAACGGCGUGCUUCGAAUGGUAACUUUAACAUUUACCACGCGAAACGCGCCUUUCUUUCUUUCUUUCUUUCCUUCGCGCGAACCGAAAACGAUCGAUUUCGAGGAUCGAGCCAUCGAAAUUUUUCGACCGCGGCCGCCACCGCGAUGUUUCUCGCUCGGUGAAACGCUGCUCUCUCUCUCUCUCUCUCUCUGGAAAGCAGUCCGGUAAAGCUCGACCAACUUUACGGCCCCGGUGUUGUAUUGUGUCGCAGCAGAUAAAAUAAAACGGAAAAGACAUCGUUCAUUGUCUUUCUUUUUAUUUCUCCCCUUUUCUUGUUUUCAUAGUCGAACAACAAUCACCGGCGCGUGAUUGCACUUUCGACGUGGCGGAACGCGUUACUACCGGCCGACCCUUCCAAGAGAGGAAGAGAAAUCGUUUGGACGGGCGACGCGAUAACUUUUGUCGUUAAUACAUAGCGUGCGGUGUUGUUUCCCUUCGUGUUCUACACGCGUAAAACUCGCGGGGCAUGGAAAAAGAUCGAUGUAAUACGGGCAUGAAACGGGUCUCUCGAAUCGGAGCAUGUAUCCGCCGCCACCAGCCCCCUCACAACCGUUUUAUCGUUUCGCAUUGUCACAAUCGCGAGAAACUUUGAUAACAGCGCGGAUAUCGUUGUUGCCGCACAGUUUCGAUAACGCAUUUUAGUUUUCAUUUUAGUUUCACCGUUGACACUGCGAACACGCUCGAUUCACCGUUAUUACCGCUCCGAAUCCCGCCGGCCAAUCUUUUCCACGCGCUUAUUACCGAACUUGACGGGAAACCUUUCGAGAAACGUGUCGAUACAAGAUCGCUUAUCUUGCAUCGAAAGGUCGAUAUGCACCGAUUACCACCGAUUAUUUUAUAUAUACAUAUAUAUACCGUGAAUAAUAAUAGUUCGCCCACUUGCAUACGCGAGUAUCAUACCCACGACCGUUUAAAGAUGAUUUCAUAUCGUUUCAAAUCGACGAUUAUACCGUUACACAAGUCUGGAUAACGGAAUGGAGAGGGGAGCGAAAGAGACACGUUACCUAAUCUAUGAAUUUCAUCGGGGGAGGGAAAGAAAAGAAAAGAAAAAAACAAGAUUAUAUCAAUCAGGGACAGGGAAUCUUGCAAGAUCGCAUCUGUCCCGACCGAAACGUGCUUUUCAAUGCACGAUCGAUGCUGACGUCAGGGAGCUAACUUGAAAAUGGGUUGCAACUAAUUUUCCACAUCUUCCACGAAAAGCUCGGAAGCCAGCAGGUGGGGGAGAGGAGCAGGGUCGUUUGCAAACUUUUCGUUUCGAAAAACGAACGUGUUGCGUCAGAGAGAAAGAGAGAGAGAAAUGUUCGUGCAUCCGCGGCGACUGGUAACGAACGGUGGAAACUAGACGGUAAAACUUUCCACCAGGUUGAAUUGAACCGAAUUUAGAUUUCGGCCUGCACAUUACCAUAUCUCCUAGGCGAGCUCCUGUAUUAUUGAUUCCGAACCAAACGGGUCUAAAGUCGCUAUUCCGUUUGGUUAGAGUAACGCCGUAGCGAACCGAAGACGAGUUUCGCUGAAAUUUAUUAACAUUUCGCGGCGAGCAACGCCAUUAACUUGCUUUGAUUGCCGCCAAUCUGAAUAUCAACCUUGAACGACCGUUUUACGAGCCCUCGCUGAUAUUUCGCUCGGCUCGAGGCGAACCUGCGCAACGUUCGCCACUCGUCGAACAAAAAGCGCACGGAAGGAAAGGGAAAUUCUCGAAAGGAAAAAAAUCGAAUUUCUUAUUCGAGGCUUAAUCAAGAGGAGGGGGGCCAUCUCCUCGAGAUAGAUCUCGACGAUUUCGCUUUUCGAUCGACCGACAAGGGAUGAGAGAAACGAGAGAGGAGAGAAAAAAAAACGGUUCGAGACUCGGUGGGAAAUGCGGCGUGAAAAGCGGGACGCGUGGUAUCGAUGAAUCGAAAAAAAGCGACGACGAGACGUCGAGGAGCGGGGAGAAUCCGUGAAACCUGGGCUGUUUGCGUGAAAUAAAAGUACAACGACAAAUAGCGGAGAAGCCCGUUACUUAACCGCUUCGGAGCACCGUUAACUCACCUGACUGCGUGUAUGGAAUAUACAGGGUGUCUCCUCCGUGUAUAUUCCCAGCUCUGUGCGUGUACGAUACGAAACGGGACGAUGAUUCUCGAUCGAUCUAAAUGCAUCAUCGCGACGUAUAUAUAUAUAUAUAUUCCACGAUCCCAAUCGUAUCGCGGCCUAAAAUUAAUUACAAGAAAAGUCUGGCGAAUUUAGCGUUUUCUCGACAACAACGGCGAGAUUAAUUGAGCCGAACGGCCUUUUAUCACGAAUUUCCUCUCGAAUCGAUCGUUGCAGAGAGUUCCAGAGCGGAAAGGAGGGGGAGAGCACGAGUCACGAUCACGGGUCUGUUUUAUCGUCGGACAACGACAACUCUUUUGCAACAACGAGAAUGAAUAUUAUAUUCGUUGGAACAAGUGAAUUCCGGUUUACUUUUACAGAAGCCGAGCCGAGCUCGAUUCGAGAACGCUCGGUUCGAUAGCUAUCACGAAUAAUCGGGGACGCAACAAUUAAAAACGAUAUGAACAGAACCCGGUGAAUGCAGCAGAAUGGAUUAUUCGUUCCUUGAGGCGUUUUAUGCGCGUCUAUCGACGGAAAGAAGAAAAAAGACAGGAACGACGACGACGACGACGACGGUAGCAAAGAUAGCAAUCCAGGAUGAAUUCUCGUUUCGGAUGGAAAGAGGUCAAGGGUCGAGGGUGUCCGAUUGCAGGGACGAUUUGCAGAGACGUCGAUCGUUUCCUGGAAUUACCGCCGCUUUCAGCGGCGUGCCGUAUUUCGAGCGGUGUACAAGGCCGGAAUUCGCAGAGCUUGCCGGUAUUUCGCUCGCAGAUUUGACCGAGUCAUGAACUUGGCCAGUAUUCCAGUCCGGUUUCUCAUUGACCGUAACGCGGCUGCGUUCGUUCCGCGACGUGAAAUCGCGUGCAGACGUUGUACGAUUAAAGCGGUGGAAUGACUAAUUAAUCGGGGAGAAAACGUCGUUGCGUGUUUGGCCGCUCGAUACACCUCGAUUCAAAGGAGGGAGAGAGAGAGAGAGAGAGAGCGAUCGAGGGUUGGAAAACGAAGGGGAAAUUUUGAAUUGGAUAGGAAAUCGGAGGAAAAGGCAGGUUGGACGGGGAAAGUUUUCGAAUACUUUUUAUCCGCCGCGGCGUUGAGCGCGGUUUGGCUUGGGUGGACAACGAACGAGUGGUUAACAGUGUUGUAAAAGCUGUUGUUUCACAAUGGCUGCUACCGUUCGUUCCAGAUAACGAGGCCCCCAUCCCGCUUACCAACUUUCUAAGCCGUGCAGCAAAAGCAAGGGGUCCGAUCCGUUCUUUUCCCGGUACAAAUCACGCGAUCGCGGGCCCAGCUACGUACAUACGGUGCGCCCGAGCGUGUUUGUGUGCCGGUUGCGGAGAACCGCUGGUGUUAAUGUUCCAUCGGCAGAAACCGGUUCCCCAGACACCGGGAAUCGAUCGAAUUGACCCAACCUCGCUCCACGCACGAUACCCUCCUGACUUUGUACCGUUCACCAACCAACCAGCCACCGAAAUGAAUCCUUCUUUUCGCGUCGCGUGUUUCGUUAACGUCAUCCAGGAAGAGUAUACAAUAUAAUCCGUCGCGAUACGUUUAUCCUCUUUCUCGAAAAAAUAAAUAAAUAAAUAAACAAAUAAAAGAUAAAAAGAAGCAAGAAGUUAUCAUCGAAUGUAUUGGGACAGGUUGAACGCGAUGUCGAGACCUAAUAUACAGCCGGAACGAAGAAGAAUCGGGUUACUUUUACGGACGCGUCAUGGUCACCCGUUCCUACCCAUAGUUAUAUACCGUUACGCGAAACCUUGGCGAAUCUGAACGGUUAAAAGGCGAUCUCAUUCAGGCGAUAGACGCCAGUUUCGUGGGACUCGUAACUCGCUACGAAAAAAUGAACGUGGAACGGGUUCACAAUUAUCGAGCUACUCCAUAGACGUAUCCGCAUCGGACCCUCCGAAGACAAUGGCUAUUGUAACCGUCUAUUCGUGGUUCUCGUUCGGUCUCUCGGCACGCACCGCGGCCUCUCCCGUUAUAAGCGCUACCUACCCUAGUUUGCAAAAUUCAAUUAAAAUAAACUCUCUCGUCGGGACACGCGUCCUCUUAUCGGUGACGGACAAUCCCACGGGGGAAGGGUGGGGAAAAAAGUUGAAAGCAAAAAAAGGGAAGGGAGAGAGAAGGUGGAUACAAAAAGGAAAUGAGCGAGAGAGAAAAAAGGCGGAGGGAAGGCAAACUCGACGAAGGAGAACUCGCGUGAUAAGGGUUAAAGCCACACCUUGAUACCAGAUACCCCUUCGCGGUAGCUUUUAGCCAAAUGACGCGGAUUUUAUUAUUGGAUGGCCUUUAAGGGUGCGGCCAGGUUAUCCUACCAUAGUCUAAUGGGCCGUUAACCAGCCCCACCUUCCUCUUGGCAUUCUUUUUCCUUUUUUUUUUUUUCACCCGUGGCAUCCGUUAUGUAAAAUUCGUCAUGUAAAAAACACGGGUCGACCUCUGACACGCGACUCAUAUUCAUAAAGAAAAAAAGAAAGAUCCACGAGAAGGAUCCCUUUUUUUUACCCUCAAUCAACAACCCUUCGUCUUCCCUCCCGUUCGAAUCCGAGAUUCACGUGUCGCGAGAAAAGUAGCAGUGAAUGAGGUGAAAUUAGGGAUGGCAAAUUGGCUCGUGGCUGACGAUAUUACUUGGAGAGACAAAGAGAGAGAGAGCGUAGCUUUUGAGACGAGAGAAAUGGUAACGAUGAAAGAAAUCGAAAUCUCGGCCCAGCUCGGGAAAUAUCAUCGUGUUUGAACAAAUAUAGGAUCCGUGAAGGAUCGGUCGUGAAAGCGUGUCGGUGGGAAAUAUUCCGGCGAAACCAACGCCGUGUAAUUGUUCCCGAGGAGAAAAAUCGAUUGGCGAAGAAAUUCGAAAGUUGAAGACCGAUUUUGUCGCUGGAACGUGAAUGACGUUCGAAGAAUGGAAAAACUGUGAAAGAAAUUAGAGGAAGUCCAGCGUGGAAGCGUACACAAGAAAGCGUGUCGUUGGUGGAAACCGUGCCGAAUACUUGCUCAUCAACACGAGAAUAAUUUCUACCCGAGAGAUAUAUAUAAUCGUUUACAAUUUUAGCUGUAGAAAUAUCUUUCUUCCCUUACGAUCUUAAUUUAUAACGUACGACAGGAAAGUAAAAAGCAUCGAUUGUGUUCAAAAAAUUUCGAAAGGAUUUCCGAUCCUUCCUUCUAAUCCUCCUUUUGAUCCUUCGGUUACAAAACGUAACAAAGCAGAUCGAAAACGUACGAGUGUUAAAAAUAUCGGUAUACAGAUUCGUGUCUGGAACGAAUUCGUCGAUACCUCGUUCGAUACCGUCGUCGGUUGAUUGGCGGGGGACAACCCCUUUCCCCCUCGCCGCGGAUUUCCUGCGCAAAUUCGUUUCGGGCAAAUUCGUUGUCCGUGGGCUCCGGAACGAGUUCAUCGAGACGACGUUUGGCGAAGGAAACUGGGCGGAGGAAAGAGAGCGAGGUGAGCCAAUUAGUUUUAUUAAGGGGGAGAAGAGAAAUCGGCGUGGGCGUCGUGGCAACGUCAGACGAGCGAGGAAGGUCUUCCCUGGAUGGCGCCGCCGAUUUUAUUAGACCGUUAUCGUCCACCGCACGGAAUAUUUGUCUUCGGCUUCGCCUUUUUGUCGGCCACUUUUGCUCGGCCUUCUGCGUUGCUGCCACGCGGCCUGUUACGCGGUGGAACACGACACGCUCGCCCGUCCCUCUGUACUCUCUAUUUUCACGUAAGCGCGGUACACGCGUCAUCCACGCCCACGCGAAUGCGCGCAACGUCACAUUCGAGCCGAGUCUUGGAGCGGGGAAGAAGGCAAGUCGGCUAUCGGAGAUUUGUCAGAUAACGUUCCUCGAUGACCCGAUAAAAUGACUAAAUGGGCGAACUGGAAUCGGAACGGAGUCGAGAAGGGCGGAGGGGAGGGAUAUAUCCAUUUCUCACGAACCGUUCAAACAGCAACAUCGGCGUAUCAAUAUUUGUCCGUUCCACGUCCCGAGUUUACCUUUUCUUGCGUGUGCGCCGCGGAAGCGUUAUCGAAGACGAUAACGCCUCUGUUGCGUCUAUCAAUUUUCUAAUCUCUCUGUUUCUCUCUUUUCCUUCCUCCUUGUUUUUUUACUUCGCUCGAUUUUCCCCUGCUGCUCUCGUUCCCAAGAUUUGUCACGCCUAUCCGAUCUCGCGAUCUGCAAUCGGCGAACCUAGAAGCGGGGGGGAUGAUGGUUGUGCUCGUUAACGAGGAUGAACGGGAAUCGAUGAAUUUGUAAUCGUAAGAGUACAUCGAGCACGUAGAAAGGGAGGAAAGGUGGCAGAGGGGAACACUGUCGAGGAAAAAAAAUAAAUAAACGAUACGAUAAACACAUGGAAGAAGCGAUUAAUAUCGGCGAAGAUAUCGGCGCUGAUACCGAGUGGAAAGGGUAUAAAGAGAAAGAGAGAGAGAUGGAAAGAAGGAAGGGGAAUAAAGAGGAAAGAGAGAGAGAGUAGAGAAACAGGUCCUCGUCGAGCAUGGGGGUUGAUUUUAAUACCCCCUAGGGAGAGAGGGGUUGUGGAUGUGACCUUUAUGAAAUGCUACAACCUUUGUAAGCCCUGAUUGCACUUCUUCAUAUAUACACAGGGUGGCGCGCACACCGGCUCGACCGCUUACCCACACGUUGGUACGCAAGAUAGUACGUAGAAGAGCGGUAUGAAAGCGCGAGCACGUCGGAUCGCGUUGUACGUGCACACAAAGCGGGCCUAGACACCGGUCUUAGGAUCGUCUGGUUUGCACACCGACCAUUGUUUUUUCAAACGUACACGUCUCCUCCGACUAUACGUGGCUCGCUGGUAAUCGCGAUCCACGAGAGAAAGAUAGAUAAACGGGCGGGUAUCGAAGGUGAGCCCGGUGCCAUCCGACGUUCCAAACGAUCGCGCGAAUGUAUUUGUGUAUAUCGUGCUCGUAGAGACGACGACGGCGACGUGGGGGAGAAUUAUCGAUCGAUGGAAAUGGUGCCUCCACGUGACGUUUACAUACGUUUAGAUAAGUUUACGCGUUCACCUUAGAAGACCUGUCGCCAAUCCGAGAGACGCUCGAAUCUGGCUUCUCCCUUUGGAAAUUACCGCCAGUUUGUAACUUCCUUCGGGAGAGACGGAAACUUUGGCGGACGGAAGAGUAGCUGUUAGAUUUCAUCACGGCCUGCGCGCGCGCCACUCGCGCCACGAGGUCGAGUUCCUAUUCCUUCUUUCGCCGCGCCAUUUUUUCUCUUUCUUUCCUUCUCUUUUUUUUUCUCUCUCCUUUUCGCCAAAAGAGAACCAUCGAUUUCUUAGGGAUCGUAUUCGAUAGGGUUGUUUCUUUCUGUUCUUCGAACGUCCAACGUUGUUUUUUUACAGCUAGAGAGAUCGAUCGUUUCGCUAUCUAAGAUACGAGGCGUAAAAAAAAAAAGAAAGAAAGAAAAUCGAGGCUGAUAGCAAGGUUCGAAGAAAAAGAGGUUGUAAUCAGCGUAAAUAGAAAUCAAGGGAGCAAAGGAAGCGGCGAGAAAAUUGCAGGAAUAUCGUUCCAACUUCGAGCUCCGCUGCGAAACAACGGUACUUCCGCGAUCGUAAACGUUGCUUGACCGUUAAGUUGACUCUUUUCGCUUCGUUCAGGAGCCUCUCUCUCUCUCUCUCUCUCCCCCCCCCCUCUUCUUUUUCUUUUCUCGGCAGCUCUAUGCGACCAAAGACGUGAGAAUUAUUUUCAUAACGGCGAGGAAUCGUGAAAAUAAAAAUAAACGAUGAAUUUGUGAACCGGUCGAACCGGGCUAUCGUAGAGACAACUCUCGUGAAAGAAACGUAGGCGCUGCAAUUCGUCGAUUUAUUUACCAAUCCUCGAUUCUCGAAAGAUUACGUAAGCGAAAGGCGGUGGUUCUCUUAAGAAAAAAAAAAAAAAAAAAAACUCAUCAAUAUUUGCGGCGUGUUCGAGUCAAUAUACCAUCCGAGAGAUAGAAUUUAAUUUUGUUUCCUUUUACGAAAGAACCUUCCGGCUUAUUACCUCGGUCUCAAGGCAAACUAUCCGUCUAUCCGUCUCCCUUUCUCCGCCCGGCUUUCUCCUUCUCCUCCUCCUCGUCCUCCUCCUCCCUCUCCCUCUCCCUCUCCUUCCUCCCACCGUCGGGACAAACCUCGGUUAAACUUCCAUCGAACAAGUUUCAAAUGGAAUUCUUCUGUCGGCCGUUAAUAGCUCGAUAGGAAAGAAAUCCGUGGUGGUAUCGAAACGAAGCGGAAUAAAGGAUCGAAGGCGGUUGGUAGCGGUUGAUGGGCUAUGAAAAGCGUCGCGCGGCCGCGCGUACCCGCCGUACAAUGCCGGUCUAAAUGAAACACGUGAAAAUACGCGAUCCGUGAACGUGGCACAAAGGAGGAGGAGGAGAAGGAGGAGGGUAUCGCGUGAACGUAGCGAGAAUCGAAUAAUAAAUUCCUCCCCUCCCUCGUCCGACGUAAUAAACGAAAGCGGGUUCGAGGAUCGCGUAAUACCUAUCAUCGUGCGAACUCCUCUUCCUUUGAGCAGCACACGCUCGACGACGCGUGGCGUCGCGCCGCUCCAGACCAGAGAAAAACGAUCGAAUUUCACGUGCGGUCGGCAACCCGUCCAACGAGACGUGGGAUGGAGGAGGAACGAGACUUUUUUCCGCCCCCUCUCCAAAUAUCGCGCACAAAUUGACCCAUCUCCGUGACCGAUUUGAUCAGGAGAAGCCUAUCGAAGUAAUUUCCAACGUGUUUUCUCUGAAUUAUCGUUGGUACGGCUCGGUGUAAAAUGACAGAAGGAACGAAGGACGGGGAACGAGACCGUUUUGUAUUCAAACGUCGAGGGAGGAGGAAUCGAUAAAACGGCACCUCUCUCGAGCGACCUGUAACGAUUAUUAAUCGUGGAACGUAUUAACCACGACACGUCUAUGCGUCGUUUUCUUCCAAACACAGUUGGAGAAGUAAAGGAGAGCGAAGGGGGAGAAAGAGAGAAAGAGAGAGAGCGGAAGAGGCGGUUUCCGGAGUGAAAAAAGCUAGGAGCGGAAAUUCGCCGCGAUAAGAAUAAUCGAGUCCCGCGAACCAUCGGCCAGAGGUCUGUUCCUCGAGGUCGAAGGAGCUCGUUAGAAAAUUAAACGCGGCUUCUUGUUAUUAACGAAACGUUUCGCAGCAAGAUGAUCGUUUCCUCGAUUCACACGUGUGACGCAUAUGACGCAUGCGCGUCAUAUAUAUAUAUAUAUAUAUGAAUUGCUCGAGCUAAUUAGAAAAAUUCAGUAAGAUGAUACGGUAAGAUAAGCUGCCGUCCUCUUCUUCGAGAACUCGAUAACAGUGGAGAUAUUCCUUCCGCGAAAUAACGCGACAAAAAUAUCAAUCCAACGAGACGAUACUCCGAUUACGGUGAAACGAUUUACGAUUAAAAAUUUUCUAUUAUUUGAUCCGAGAUUCGCGAUCCCCGUGUAAUCUCGAAUUAAAUUUGAACCACGGUCGCGAGCUAAAAAUUGUUCGGCCACAAUAUUCGAUUACACGACGACGCGUAUAUAUCGCGCUCUGCCUCGAAUUCCCCGGUUUUGAUUUUAACCGCGCGCGCGGAGGGGGAAAAAAAAAGAAAAAAAGGAAAGAAAAAUGGUGAACGAAAGUCGGUCGUCGAUCGACCGAGAGGCGAAAACGAAACUAAAACUGAAACUACGACUAAAACUAAAACCGAACUUCCUACCACGUGUCGACGAGGAUCUUUCUCGAUCUUCGGAUUAAUCGAUCCCACGGUAUUGGCGAUAUUCCACGCGAGUGAUAACACGCGCGAGAAUGAAAGGGGAUCAACGAAAGGGGAUCGAUCUAGCGGGCGGGGAGGAACUACUAUCCGCCAAGUGACUGGACUAGCCACCGUGGUAAAGCGUUCGAUGGUAGUUAUAUCUCUGCGGCGGCAAGAAAAGGCUGCCAACGUGAGAGUGCACGUUGAAGGUGGAGGAGCGCUAUCUCACCGUGGUCGCUUGCUCAGCGGUAACGCGAGACCUCUGCGGUAACAAGAGCUGCCCUGACUUGGUUGCGACGAAUCAAAGAAGGGGAACAAUAAGGUCGAGACUUACCUGAACAUCAAAGUGAGUAGUGGUGUCUUGUGGCUGAGGGGGUCCCUGUUGCUGUUGCUGUUGCUGCGAAGGUGGAGGGCCCUGUGGGGGUGGUGGAGCCUGUGCACCAAAGAGUUGUGCCGCGUGCGAGUGUGGAUGUUGGAGAUGAUGCGUCGGUGGUGCUUGAUGAUGUUGAAGAUGAUGCGGUGGAGCUGGGGCAAAGGCCGCCAUGAAAUGUUCCUCGCUUCCGACCACAUCGACACCAGGUUUCAACAGUACGACCCCGCCACCACCAGCGCUUACAGCCAGAGUAGCAGCCGCGUUCUUCUGAAAUUCCUCCUCGCCUGGAGAAGGUUGGCGACUCCCAGGUGUACGACUGUAAAUGAAAAAUGAGGAAUAACGUUCAACCAUCUCUUUCUUUCAACGAGAAAAAGUAAUUCAUUGCUGGAUAAUAUUCGGAAACAAUGUUAACGUCAUAAUGUGCGUAAAUCACGGACAAUGGAAUUAUUAUGACGGUAACAUCAAUUAUAAUUUAUAAGUAACGAUUUUUUUGACACAGGAGUAAAGAGGAAGCAAAGAUGAAGAGAUUGUGCAGUCUUUGAAAUAGUAAAAUAAAAUACUUUUGAUAUUUUGCGGUCUA